AUUACUACAUUAUUAUUUAUUAUCAACCAUUGCAAUAUCAUCACCAAGACGUGACAUGGCUUACUCAAAAUCAUAUUUGUUUCUUAGUAUUAAUCUUUUUGUUUUUCUCUCUUCACAAGUUUUAGCUGAUAUUCAUGUUCCACCGACGCUUACUGUCGAACCCAAUCUUCCUUCAAUGGCCGAUCAACUCAAUGACAAGCAAAUCUCAAAGAUAAAGGCGUAUUUCAGCCUCAUCGAUAAGGAUGGAGAUGUUUCUAUUGAUAAUGAAGAACUUGACACUCUAAUACGGUCUACUGGCCUAAACCCAACUGAUUUCGGCUUGAUGGUAGCGAGGAAUAAGUCUGCCACUGACGGAAAUGGUACCAUUGACUUCACCAAAGAAGAGCUUCUCAUAGCUUUCUCUAAGCCUAACACGGAUCAUAAUGGUUUUGUCACUGCAUCUGAGUUGCAUUAUUACUUGACAAAUCAAGGCAUUAAGGCGACCAAUGAAGAAGUGAGCGACUUUGUUCGUGAGGCUGAUUCUGAUAGUGAUGGACAUCUAAGCUUUAAGGAGUUUGUCAGACUUGGCAGAUUCACUGUGGAGUGAAGGUUUGCACUUAUCUAUGAAGCCCGAAUACGUUGUACGAGUGCGAUACAAUACGGGACAUGGAGUAUGAAUGGAAGUAGAGGAAUGCAUUUGUGCUCUACUAUCCUUUGGGGAGCUGUUAGCAUCUCCAUGAGAUAAUCCUAGCAAAUGUUCUAUUGAGUCCAUAUUUAAUUGAGGAUUGCAUUGUUGUAUGACGGUCUUAAACACAUUUUGCAAUCUAUCAAUCUGAUCUUGAAAUUCAUGCCUUAAAGUAGAUACCUCUUGACUAUGUGCUUGAUUCAAAGCAUUAAUCUCAACCUUUCGCUUUAAGGAAGUUUUAGUUAUUUUUCUCCCAUAACAACGUAACCUGCCAGGACGCUCCUUUCCCAUAACAGCUUUAAAAGCUUCAGUAUCACUUCCUUUCUUUUCAUCCAUUUCUUGAAGUUGGGAGCAAAAAAAAAAAUUCAAGAAAACAUUAACUAAUAUUAUAAACAAUGUUUGCCAACAAUAUUAA